rnacentral:rRNA from 1 species
UACAGAGGGUGCGAGCGUUGUCCGGAAUCACUGGGCGUAAAGGGCGCGUAGGUGGCGCGACAAGUCAGUGGUGAAAGCUCGGCGCUCAACGCCGAGUCGGCCACUGAUACUGUUGGGCUUGAGCACUGUAGAGGCUAAUGGAAUUCCGGGUGUAGCGGUGGAAUGCGUAGAGAUCCGGAAGAACACCGGUGGCGAAGGCGGUUAGCUGGGCAGUUGCUGACACUGAGGAGCGAAAGCGUGGGGAGCGAACAGG